AGCAAGUCAAAAUAAAACUAUUUAUUGAAAAAAGAAAAAGAAGAAGCAUGCUUACACUGUUUUUGUUUGUUCCCAUUCACACACAGGAAGACACAUCACAUACUGCUUUUCCUGCCGGCCCAUGUCCUUGUUCUGUUCCUAGUUUCUGUCUGCCUUUUGUCCUUAUCUGUAUUGCUGUUUUACAGAAUGAACAGUGAGAGCACAGGAGAGUUGAUUUCUCCAUGAAAAGCAGCCACCAGAUACUGGGAAGGGGUAUAUUGAAAAGAAAUAUUUGGAUGUCUUUUGCUCAAAAAUGUUUUACAGUGGCAACCCACUCAGCCUGUGGGGCUGUGGUUAUCUCUGUAACUAUUGCUUUGAAAGACACCAUCCCUGGCCCAAAGGAUAAUGUGAUUCUUUACUUUUCCCAGCAUGUGUGUGCAGUGAUCGCUGAGGGGGAUCACUGGAGGCUGUCCAUGCAUUAAUCAUAAUCAUCAAUGCUGCAUCAUCAACAAGGCAUGCGUCUCGCCACUCGGCCUAUUCGUGAGAAGCAGCAGGGAAAGUCCCUGAACCAGGAGUCCUGGUGAGAGCAGAGCACCGAGGCUCACACAGCCCUCUUGUCUAGUGACUGCCUGGGCGACCCAGAGCUGCUGUUACUGGAUAGUGCUGCAGGGCUUGUGCCCUACAGGUGACUAGCUGCCUGCCUGGACCUGUGUUGCAGGAUUGCAAGAAGGCUGCUCAGCUGCUGCUGGAGCUACUCACC